CAUUUUUUUUCAUUCCCCAGACUUCCCCAGAGAAAAUUUUGUGAUAUUAAGAAAAACUUGUUAGAGUAGAAAAUAUUAUGAAUAACGAAUCUAUCCUAUCAUAUCACGAAUCGAAAUUUUAUGUGAACAUGAACAAUUUGUCUGUGACUGUUUAAUUGAUAAGAAGUGUCGUUAGUCGAAAGCAAGUUCAACUGAGUGUGCAAUCCAAUGCGUUAUCACUUUGAAAUGCGCAAGUGGACUGCAGGAAGCACGAUUGGGUUCCACAAGAAAUGCUCCCACCCGACUGAUAAGACUUAAAUGAAACACUCAGUUUUAUUUUUUCCACCGACAGAGACUCAUAGAAUUUAAGCACCUUGAAUUGAAGCUUGAGAAAAGAAAUUUCCAGAAAUUGAAACUACAGAAAACAAACAAAAUUAUAAGAUUGCCAAGAACAGUGCAAACAGACAAACAGCCUUUAUUUGGAAAGAAUUGUAAAAAUCGAAUUUCUUGAAUAACUUUUGAACGAUACGAAUAAAGUUUUAUCUGGGGACUAAAAUGUCUCCACCAGCCCCAAUUUAGUGUUUCAAAAUUUGUUUACUUUCACCCAAAUUUCUCCCAAACCAAACUACUUUUGGAAAAUAUUCUAAUUAAAACAAUACAUCAUCUUUCUUAUAAAAAUUGGAAACUGCGCCAAGCAUAUUUUAAAAUAGCAAGGUUGUGCCAUUUCCGAUCGUUCAGUUACAUGGGAGCUCUAGAAUAUAGUCGUCCGAUCCUUAUGAAAAUUGGCGGAUUGGAUUAGGCUUCUCAAAAUAAAAAUUUAAUUUCUCAAUUUAAAAGUAAAGCAGGGUCUUUAAAAUGAUAAAACUGAUGAAUGUGACGACCACGAGGAAGAGGAGUUCGAGACCACUGCUAUAUCCUCACCCAGAAGUGUCUGAGGCCCCACGGAUGUUUCUGAACAGUUCAGAUGACCAGUCCGGGGUGGUACCCAUCAAAGUUUGAGCCUCUUCUGGCAAAUGGCCAAAACCAAAAAAAAACUUAGGAUCUUUUAAUAUAGCAAGGAUUGCCAAGAACAGUGCAAACAGACAAACAGCCUUUAUUUGGAAAGAAUUGUAAAAAUCGAAUUUCUUGAAUAACUUUUGAACGAUACGAAUAAAGUUUUAUCUGGGGACUUAAAUGUCUCCACCAGCCCCAAUUUAGUGUUUCAAAAAUUUGUUUACUUUCACCCUGAUUUCUCCCAAACCAAAACUACUUUUGGAAAA
rnacentral:sRNA from 1 species